rnacentral:rRNA from 1 species
UACGUAGGGUGCGAGCGUUGUCCGGAAUUACUGGGCGUAAAGAGCUCGUAGGUGGUUUGUCACGUUGUCCGUGAAAACUCACAGCUUAACUGUGGGCGUGCGGGCGAUACGGGCAGACUAGAGUACUGUAGGGGAGACUGGAAUUCCUGGUGUAGCGGUGGAAUGCGCAGAUAUCAGGAGGAACACCGGUGGCGAAGGCGGGUCUCUGGGCAGUAACUGACGCUGAGGAGCGAAAGCGUGGGGAGCGAACAGG